rnacentral:rRNA from 1 species
UAGAGUUUGGAUCAUGGCUCAGGACGAACGCUGGGCGGCGUGCCUAAUACAUGCAAGUCGAGCGAAUGGAAGGGAGCUUGCUCCCGGAAGUUAGCGGCGGACGGGUGAGUAACACGUGGGCAACCUGCCUGUAAGACUGGGAUAACUUCGGGAAACCGGAGCUAAUACCGGAUAAUUUCUUUCUUCUCAUGGAGGAAGGUUGAAAGAUGGCUUCGGCUAUCACUUACAGAUGGGCCCGCGGCGCAUUAGCUAGUUGGUGAGAUAACGGCUCACCAAGGCAACGAUGCGUAGCCGACCUGAGAGGGUGAUCGGCCACACUGGGACUGAGACACGGCCCAGACUCCUACGGGAGGCAGCAGUAGGGAAUCUUCCGCAAUGGACGAAAGUCUGACGGAGCAACGCCGCGUGAGUGAUGAAGGUUUUCGGAUCGUAAAACUCUGUUGUCAGGGAAGAACAAGUAUCGGAGUAACUGCCGGUACCUUGACGGUACCUGACCAGAAAGCCACGGCUAACUACGUGCCAGCAGCCGCGGUAAUACGUAGGUGGCAAGCGUUGUCCGGAAUUAUUGGGCGUAAAGCGCGCGCAGGCGGUCCUUUAAGUCUGAUGUGAAAGCCCACGGCUCAACCGUGGAAGGUCAUUGGAAACUGGGGGACUUGAGUGCAGAAGAGAAGAGCGGAAUUCCACGUGUAGCGGUGAAAUGCGUAGAGAUGUGGAGGAACACCAGUGGCGAAGGCGGCUCUUUGGUCUGUAACUGACGCUGAGGCGCGAAAGCGUGGGGAGCAAACAGGAUUAGAUACCCUGGUAGUCCACGCCGUAAACGAUGAGUGCUAAGUGUUAGAGGGUUUCCGCCCUUUAGUGCUGCAGUAACGCAUAAGCAUCCCGCCU